AUUGAACGCUGGCGGCAGGCCUAACACAUGCAAGUCGAACGAGUGGCGGACGGGUGAGUAAUGUCUGGGAAACUGACUGAUGGAGGGGGAUAACUACUGGAAACGGUAGCUAAUACCGCAUACCAUCGGAUGUGCACAGAUGGGAUUAGCUAGUAGGUGGGGUAAAGGCUCACCUAGGCGAUGGUCCGUAGCUGGUCUGAGAGGAUGACCAGCCACGCUGGAACUGAGUAACGGUCCAGCCUCCUACGGUAGGCAGCAGUUGGGAAUAUUGCACAAUGGGCGCAAGCCUGAUGCAGCCAUGCCGCGUGUAUGAAGAAGGCCUUCGGGGUGUAAAGUACUUUCAGCGGGGAGGCGUUACCCGCAGAAGAAGCACCGGCUAACUCCGUGCCAGCCGCCGCGGUAAUUC
rnacentral:rRNA from 1 species